rnacentral:misc_RNA from 1 species
GGGGGGACAUCAAUUGGCGGUC